rnacentral:lncRNA from 1 species
UUCAUCUUCAGUGGCAGUUGGUGUGGGUUGGGGUGUGUGCUGCAUUCCCAUAUGCUGUUAGGGCAAGUACAACAAAACCCACCUGUGUAAACACACACAGCUAAGUGAUGUAGAAAGUUUCCAUAUAAAGGGCUGCAGUAUGGAGAGGUAAUGUGCAGGCUGGCUGGGAGAGGCAAGCAGACUAAGGGGUGCUGAGGUCAGACCAGCCCCAUCUCAUGUGCAAGACUGCCCAGCAGAGAUCAGGUCUCAGAGGAGAACUCUCUCAAAAGUGAAUCCUCAGCACAGCACAACUGCUCUAC